GUGGCUGUAUCAUAAAAGUAAUGUACUAGGCUGUGAACCUAGAUAAGAGGGGGCAGUACCCUCCAGUCACC
rnacentral:tRNA from 1 species